GAUGAACGCUGACAGAAUGCUUAACACAUGCAAGUCGAUGGGGAAGUGGUGCUUGCACCAUGGCAACCAUGGCGGACGGGUGAGUAACGCGUAAGGGACUUACCUGCAGGACUGGGAUAACAGGGGGAACCUCCUGACAAGACCGGAUAAUGUCAUGGAGCUGCAUGGCUUUAUGAUGAAAGGAGACGCCUGCGGAGAGCCUUGCGUCCUAUUAGCUAGUUGGUGAGGUAAUGGCUCACCAAGGCGAAGAUAGUUAGCCGGCCUGAGAGGGUGGACGGCCACAAGGGGACUGAGAUACGGCCCUUACUCCUACGGGAGGCAGCAGUGGGGAAUAUUGGACAAUGGGGGCAACCCUGAUCCAGCAAUUCUGUGUGCACGAAGAAGGUUUUCGGAUUGUAAAGUGCUUUCAGCAGGGAAGAAGUAAGUGACGGUACCUGCAGAAGAAGCGACGGCUAAAUACGUG
rnacentral:rRNA from 1 species